AAAAAAAACAAACCCUGGUUCCCGUGCCCAAUGUUUGACCGUCCGUCUUAUUUGAAAAAAUUAUGAAAAAAAUAAAAAGACAAGUCACGCAUAAAAUAUUAAUCAUGUUUUAUCAUCUAACAAUAAUGAAAAUACGAAUUAUAAAAAAAUUUCAUAUAAGACGGACAGUCAAAGUUGGACACGGAAACCCAGGGUUUGCCUUUUU
rfam:Oryza sativa (indica cultivar-group) chromosome 5, whole genome shotgun sequence.